UACAGAGGGGGCAAGCGUUGUUCGGAAUUACUGGGCGUAAAGGGCGCGUAGGCGGCCCGCUAAGUCGAACGUGAAAUCCCCGGGCUCAACCCGGGAACUGCGUCCGAUACUGGUGGGCUUGAAUCCGGGAGAGGGAUGUGGAAUUCCGGGUGUAGCGGUGGAAUGCGUAGAGAUCCGGAAGAACACCGGUGGCGAAGGCGGCCCGCUGGGCAGAGACUGACGCUGAGGCGCGACAGCGUGGGGAGCAAACAGG
rnacentral:rRNA from 1 species